CGUAGGUGGCAAGCGUUGUCCGGAAUUAUUGGGCGUAAAGCGCGCGCAGGCGGCUUCUUAAGUCCAUCUUAAAAGUGCGGGGCUUAACCCCGUGAUGGGAUGGAAACUGAGAGGCUGGAGUAUCGGAGAGGAAAGUGGAAUUCCUAGUGUAGCGGUGAAACGCGUAGAGAUUAGGAAGAACACCGGUGGCGAAGGCGACUUCUGGACGACAACUGACGCUGAGGCGCGAAAGCGUGGGGAGCAA
rnacentral:rRNA from 1 species